AGAUGUACCAAGAGGGAUGGAGGACUGUAUUCAGUGCGGAUGCUAACGUCGUGGACCUCCACAAAAUGGGGCCCCAUUUCUAUGGGUUUGGCUCACAGCUCCUGCAUUUUGACAGUCCAGAGAAUUCAGAUAUCUCCCAGUCACUGCUGCAGUUCCCAGCACUCACUUCUGGAGGCUCACAAGUGUAACUCCAGCAACACGAGGGCACAGACGGCUGUGGCAGAGACAGGUGGUUCUCUUGAGUUCCAGGCCUACUGUGGCUACAUAGUGAGACCAUAAACUUUUAUUGGACGGUUCCGCCGCAUCAUGGACUCCUCCCAGAAUUCUUACAAUGAAGAUACUUCAGCACUGGUUGCCAGGUUAGAUGAGACAGAGAGGGGCUUAUUUCAAAUUGGGCAGAAAGGUCUGAAUGACUUUCAGAGUUGGGAAAAAGGUCAAGCUUCUCAGAUUACAGCUUCCAGCCUCGUUCAGAAUUACAAGAAAAGAAAAUUCACAAAUUUGGAAGACUAAAAGCGGAACAGAACUGCAACUUGUAGGUUUAUCCCUGUGCCCCUUGAUGAGACCAGUUAACUUGAUGGCAGACCCGUUCGUGUACUGCUUCAGGACUUUGAACCUUCAGCAGUCUCAAAACCUAGAACUGUCUGCUUGGGG
rnacentral:lncRNA from 1 species